rnacentral:piRNA from 1 species
UCAUCACCAAGGAAGCCAGGACUGGAACUC